UACGAAGGGGGCUAGCGUUGCUCGGAAUCACUGGGCGUAAAGCGCACGUAGGCGGCUUCUUAAGUCAGGGGUGAAAUCCUGGAGCUCAACUCCAGAACUGCCUUUGAUACUGGGGAGCUCGAGUCCGGGAGAGGUGAGUGGAACUGCGAGUGUAGAGGUGAAAUUCGUAGAUAUUCGCAAGAACACCAGUGGCGAAGGCGGCUCACUGGCCCGGUACUGACGCUGAGGUGCGAAAGCGUGGGGAGCAAACAGG
rnacentral:rRNA from 1 species